CCUACGGGAGGCAGCAGUGAGGAAUAUUGGUCAAUGGGCGCUAGCCUGAACCAGCCAAGCAGCGUGAAGGAUGACGGUCCUAUGCGUUGUAAACUUCUUUUAUAUGGGAGUAAAGUGCAGUAUGUAUACUGGUUCGCAUGUACUUUAUGAAUAAGCAUCGGCUAACUCCGUGCCAGCAGCCGCGGUAAUACGGAGGAUGCGAGCGUUAUCCGGAUUUAUUGGGUUUAAAGGGUGUGUAGGCGGGUUGUUAAGUCAGUGGUGAAAGUUUGGGGCUCAACCCUAAAAUUGCCGUUGAUACUGGCAGCCUUGAGUACAGUAGAGGUAGGCGGAAUUCGUGGUGUAGCGGUGAAAUGCUUAGAUAUCGCGAAGAACUCCGAUUGCGAAGGCAGCCUGCUGGACUGUAACUGACGCUGAUGCUCGAAAGCGUGGGUAUCAAACAGGAUUAGAUACCCGUGUAGUC
rnacentral:rRNA from 1 species